rnacentral:rRNA from 1 species
CCUGGUUGAUCCUGCCAGUAGUCAUAUGCUUGUCUCAAAGAUUAAGCCAUGCAUGUCUAAGUACAAGCCGAUUUAAGGCGAAACCGCGAAUGGCUCAUUAAAUCAGCUAUGAUUCAUUGGAUCUGUACCCACACUUACUUGGAUAACUGUGGUAAUUCUAGAGCUAAUACAUGCACCACGUCUCUGACCGCAAGGGAAGAGCGCUUUUAUUAGUUCAAAACCGGUCGGGCCUCGGUCCGUCACCCCACCGUGUUGAAUCUGAAUAACUUGUCGCUGAGCGCACGGUCUCCGCACCGGCGCCGCCUCUUUCAAGUGUCUGCCUUAUCAGCUUUCGAUUGUAGGUUAUGCGCCUACAAUGGCUAUAACGGGUAACGGGGAAUCAGGGUUCGAUUCCGGAGAGGGAGCCUGAGAAACGGCUACCACAUCUAAGGAAGGCAGCAGGCACGCAAAUUACCCACUCCCGGCACGGGGAGGUAGUGACGAAAAAUAACGAUGCGAGACUCAUCCGAGGCCUCGCAAUCGGAAUGAGUACACUUUAAAUCCUUUAACGAGGAUCUAUUGGAGGGCAAGUCUGGUGCCAGCAGCCGCGGUAAUUCCAGCUCCAAUAGCGUAUAUUAAAGUUGUUGCGGUUAAAAAGCUCGUAGUUGGAUUUCAGUUCUGGACUGACGGUUCACCGCCCGGUGCAUACUGUCACGCUCCGAACAGCCACAACAGCCCGCUGGCUCGCACGGGGUGCUCUUCAUCGAGUGUCCCGCGUGGCCGGCAGAGUUUACUUUGAAAAAAUUAGAGUGCUCAAAGCAGGCUACACUUACGGCCUGAAUGCCUAUGCAUGGAAUAAUGGAAUAGGACCUCGGUUCUAUUUUGUCGGUUUUCUGAACCCGAGGUAAUGACUAAUAGGAACAGGCGGGGGCAUUCGUAUUGCGACGCUAGAGGUGAAAUUCUUGGACCGUCGCAAGACGAACUACUGCGAAAGCAUUUGCCAAGGAUGUUUUCAUUAAUCAAGAACGAAAGUUAGAGGUUCGAAGGCGAUCAGAUACCGCCCUAGUUCUAACCAUAAACGAUGCUGACCAGCGAUCCGCCGGCGUUAUUCCCAUGACCCGGCGGGCAGCUUCCGGGAAACCAAAGUCUUUGGGUUCCGGGGGAAGUAUGGUUGCAAAGCUGAAACUUAAAGGAAUUGACGGAAGGGCACCACCAGGAGUGGAGCCUGCGGCUUAAUUUGACUCAACACGGGGAACCUCACCAGGCCCAGACACCGGAAGGAUUGACAGAUUGAGAGCUCUUUCUCGAUUCGGUGGGUGGUGGUGCAUGGCCGUUCUUAGUUGGUGGAGCGAUUUGUCUGGUUAAUUCCGAUAACGAACGAGACUCUGGCCUACUAACUAGUCGACGGAUCUCCAGCAAUUGGUGUCCAGUUCGCAGCUUCUUCUUAGAGGGAUAAGCGGCAACUUUAGCCGCACGAGAUUGAGCAAUAACAGGUCUGUGAUGCCCUUAGAUGUUCUGGGCCGCACGCGCGCUACACUGAAGGGAUCCCGAACCGUUGAAAUCCUUUCAUGAUAGGGGGGUUUGCAAUUGUCUCCCAUGAACGAGGUAAGCAAGCCCGUUGGUUGCGUCCCUGCCCUGCCACACACCGCCUUACACCGCCCGCAGUUUCGGACUGGCGCUCUUGGAUGCCGGGCCCACGCGGUUCCCCGCUGGCUUUCGGCGCCUCGCUGACGGAAAGAUGUCCAAACUUGAUCAUUUAGAGGAAGUAAAAGUCGUAACAAGGUUUCCGUAGUGAACCUGCGGGAU